AUUACGGGCCAUUCCGAUUAUCGCGCAAUGUUUAUUUCGAAAAAUCCCUUUUUGCCAGUUACAACACCUCGAAAUCGCGAAAGUAACGAUAAAAAUCAGUGGCACAUCGACUCGGGCACAAGUUAAUCCGGAAUAUCAUCAACGAUCCCCUGAACUCACGAAUUACUAAAUUACCGUGUUCUAACCCAACAAAGAGGAAUUCCAUUAUACCUUUAUACCUGAUGAUUGCAUCAACAAUUCCGAGAGUUGAUACGCAUUUACGAAAAUGCUGGAGGGACUCGUGGCCUGGGUGCUGAACAAUUACCUGGGGAAAUACGUCGAGAAUUUGAACACAGAUCAGCUGAGCAUAGCUCUCCUCUCAGGUGAAGUAGAGCUUGAGAAUCUCCCCCUGAAGAGAGAGGCCCUCCGACACAUAGGCCUCCCAAUCGAGAUAAAAGUAGGAUUUAUCGGUAAAGUUCGCCUGCAAAUUCCAGUCAGACAGAUCAGAUCCGCCUCAUGGGUGAUAGCAAUCGAGCAGCUGUACCUGGUGGCUGGACCCAUCAACCUAGAGGGUUACGACAGUGAAGUAGAGGAGCAGAUUUUGCAGGAGUACAAGCACAGUAAACUAGACUCCCUGGAAGCUCGAUGGCGUGCCUCAACGGAACGAGACCCUGGGUACUACGCCUCGAGCUACAGCUCCUGGUUGAACUAUGGCACCUCCCUGGUGACGAACAUAAUCGAGAACCUCCAGUUGAACAUAAAAGACGUCCACCUCCGCUUCGAGGACGACGUGACGCCAGGAUUAUCACAGAAGUCUGGGGUGGCCCUGGGGGUUACCAUCAAGGCCCUCUCGGCCCAGAGUUGUGACGCCAGUUGGAUACCUGGCUCCACCUCCUGGAACUUCAACGACGCCUCCUUCAAGCUGAUGGAGCUCGAUGGCCUCUCCAUCUACUGGAACCACUUGGACUCCUCUCAGUUGUUUGGAAAGCUGAACCUUGGGGAUUUAGCUGUCGCUAUGAACGAGUCCAAGAGCACCAUGUGGAAGUACAUACUCUCCCCAGUGAGUGCUUGUGCCAGGAUCAAGAGGGACAGGUCUGAGAAGCCCCUCAGGUCCAUCACCAGACCUAGGAUUGUCGUGGACCUUCAGCUGGAUCAGGUGCCACUGUUGAUCACUGACGAACAGUACGAGCAGAUUGUCAAGUGCAUCAAGGAACUGGAGGACAUAGAGCGAAGGAGAAGACAGCGAAGGUGUCGACCUCACUUGCCUAUCUCAGAGGCGCCAAAGGAGUGGUGGAAGUACGCUGUUCGAUGCCAUCUUGGGAGAGAAGCCUUGAAGCCAAAACCCACGUGGAGAGAUAUUUAUAAUCGAGGAGUGGACAAUGUAUUUUACGUGGAGACUUAUCAGAAGAUCUUGGCAACGCCAACAGCUAUUCUCUCGCCUGAUGCCAAAUCGAGGAAGGAGAGGAUUGAGUAUGAACUCAGUUAUGACGAACUGAGGGUGCUGAGGGAGCUGGCAAUGGCGAAGGUGAGGCCACCAGCACCAGCAAAGGCACCAGAGGCCGAUGCCAAUUCCCCAGCAGCUCGGGGGAUGCUCGUGCAGUGGUUUCCACAGUGGUGGGGGUGGUACUCGAAGGCACCACAGAGUAACAGCACCCCCAGUCAACCUGGGUCCUCAGCCUUCGAUGGAGAACUUCUGGACGUUCUUGCUGAUACCAUUGAUGAUAACACUCUUCUCAGGAGGGACACUGUGUUCGGACAGUUUAACUUCACACUCUCCAAGGGGGCCAUCUCCCUCUGCACCAAGGAUAAAGAUAAUACUGGGGACAAAGUCGUCAUGGAACUCCAGUUCGAGAGAGUUGUCCUGAGUUAUGAGUCCCGCCCCAGGUCUGGCUCGCACAAGUUCUCCAUCAGCCUUGGGGCCCUCUAUCUGCACGAUUUCCUGACGGUCAACUCAAUAUUUCCUAUUUUGAUUCAGCCACAGACACUUCCGGUUUGCAACUCCCGAUUGAGGUCCUCCUCGGAGAAACUCGUGGCUCAUCAGAACUCUCAACAGCCCCUCUUCGAGUUGAUUUACGAGAAGAAACCGUUUCAUGUUACCACUGAUCAUUCUUUGAGCUUGAGUACCAGGUCUCUGGAUGUUGUUUAUAAUUCUGUCGCCAUCAGGUGGCUCGUGGACUUUGUGAGCCGGCCUCACAAGAAUUCUAGUAAUCCUAGGCUUCAGGCCAUGAAGAGGAGGACUCGAAGGCAGUUGAUGAAGAAUUGGGAGCAGAUUCUUGAGGGGGAUUUUGUUUACAGGUCCUCUUGGGACCUGCAGUUCAAUAUUUCAGCCCCUCAGAUUCUUCUAGUCGAGAAUUUUCAAGAAACAACUGCAGCUGUGGUUGUUGUUGACUUUGGAAGACUCCAUUUGACGAACAGUAUCGAUAAUAAGAAGGUAGUGUUGAGACCAGGAUCACCCACUAGUGAGGAUGACAUAAACGAUCUCAGUCAAGCCAAAGAUAUCAAGGAUUUGGAAAGAGACGAGGACGACGAGGACGAGAGGUUCCAGACCCCAUGCUCUACACCUCCAGGAAGCCAGGAAAACGGUUCCAUCCAGGAGUUCCAGGGGAUCUCAGAGUCUGCUAUUCAUCACAAGUUGUACGACCAGUACAGCAUCUACUUGUCAGAUCUCCAGGUGCUCGUCGGGAAGGUCAAGGACAAUUGGAAGCACGCGAGGACCAGGGGAAUGUCGACUCUCCACGUUCUAGAGAGGUUUAACAUCUCCCUUCAGAUCGAGAGAAGGGUCGUCUCCACUGUUGACCCCCAGUUUCCGUCCCUAACGAUCUCCGGGAAUCUACCUAGACUAGUUGUCCACGUGAACGAGCAGAAGGUCGAGGCGAUCAGGUCCAUGUCCAAUCAACUGAUCACGAGUCUGUCUGGGGGAUCAGAGGGGCAUUCCUCGCAGUUGAGUGACCCUGGGGAGCCCGAGAGUCCGAAGAAAGAGGAGCCCUUGGACAAAACAAUGAACCACGCCAUGAUGAUACAAUUCAUGAUCGACCAGAUGACAUUUGAGCUGCAGUCCAGGGGGAGGAGUGUGGCUGAACUCCAGGUGUCUGGCGUGAGAGCGGCCAUGACCAAGAGACCAGCUGACCUCAGUGUCUCGUUGUCGGUCCACGGGCUUCUCCUGGUGGACGCAAUGCAGGAGUUUGGCCCGGAUUUUGAGCUCCUGGUGGCCAGCCACAAGCACGUGGGGAUGGACAGUGUUUCGGGGAGUUUGAAGGACUCUGAACCAACCUCUCCAGUUUCUCCAGUGUCUCCAGGCUCUCCUGACCCCACAGCCCCCAGGAGACUCACCUCACCUGUGGCGUUAACCCGAGCUCUAUCCAAUCUCGCUCACGACACGAAGAAUCUGUUCUCCCCCAGGAAUAACUCACUCAUGGGGCUGGAGCAAUUAGAUAACGAGGCCUUGAUCGUCGUAGAGCUGACGCUGAUUGAGGAUCCUCUGGAGAAACUGAGGGUUGCUAGCAUUCAGUUCAAUAAUCUCGAUAUCAUUGCCAAUCAGGAGACGAUUGUGGAGUUGAUUGGCUUCGUCAGAAGGCUGCUGCCUUCGUCUAAAGUAUCGAAGAAUAAAAAGAUCAAUAGGCAGGAUUCGAUACUCAGUCUGACCGUGGAGGGAAAGCCCGAGAGGACGGAAAUCACGUUUGAUUUUCACAGGCUGAAUGUUCUGCUUUUAAGAGCAGUCAUGCAGGAUAGUCAUCUGAUUGGACAAAAAAUAGCCACUGCCACGAUGUCCGAUGCCAGGAUCCAGGCGACAUUAGCCACGAAUACCUCGAUUUCAGGGUCUCUGGGGGGUCUCCAGGUCCUCGAUCAAACGCUAAUUGGCAAGACUCACCAGAGAAUCAUCAGUGUGGGGAGGGAUCCCCUGUGCAACCCAUCGCACGACCCCCUCGAGCACGUGUCAGGGCUGUCAAACCAACCGGAGGCCUUCAGCUUUUCAGCAAGUCGAAAUUCAACUGCUGAAGGCAGUGGCCAACUGGACAGUGUCGACAUCGCUGUGAGAGUUGGAAGUGUUUGGUACACACAUGCCCCUCACCUCAUCUCCGAACUGAGAUCCUGUGCUGACGAGUUUAAACAGUACUUGAGUAAUCUUGCUAGGCACAUUGGGGCAGCUGCCACUGAUAUGGCAAUGGGGCUUGUCCACGAGGACUGGAGUGGCCCCCAGAGGAAGAGGCUCCCCAGCUUCUCCCAGGACAUCGAAGCCACCUCUGGAAUCCUCACAUUGAGGCUGGAUGUCGUCCUAGACAGCCCUGUGCUCGUGAUCCCCAGGUCUUCUCACAGUCCUCAGGUGUUCGUGGCUCACCUGGGGACGAUGUCUCUUCAGCACGAGCCUUCUGACGACUCCAAGCUCACUGUCAGCCUCGACGUCAGAGACAUCAACUUGUACUCCCUCGACGUCAGCUCAAAGCUCUCUCACAUCACUGGGACUAAUUUACCUCUGAGGGCAGACGAUGUGUACAGCUGCAAGGAGUCGGGAAGACCCAUCCUACACGACACGUCGUUGAAGAUACUCGUUGAGAAGGGCUUCAUAGCCUCCCUUCACAGUUCAGGAUUUCUUCUGGACCAGGAUUUCCAGACGAGCUCUCAGCAGCCGAUAGUGCAGGUUCACGGAGGCGUCAUCACCCCCUUGAAAGUAUCGUUAUCCAGGAGUCAGUACGAGCAGCUCCUGGACACUGUUCACGUGAUAUUCUCGGCCCCCCAGAGCACCUCUGCGAACAUCCCUCCAGCGGAGAGCACAUCAACCUCCAAAAGCUACUCUCAAAAAUCAUUUCAAGUCGCCAUGAAAGUUCUCUUCGAACUCCCAACCCUCAGCAUUCAACUCAAGCAGGAUCACUCGGAGCAGCCCCUGGUGGAGCUCUCGAUGCAGGAGUUUGUGACCAAGUACGAGAAGCUGUCGAUGAACGACUCAACGACUCAAGUCUCUCUGAGGUCGCUCCUCAUGGAGGACCUCCUCUGCCCCAUUGGCUCGAGACACAGAUCGAUGAUGCAGUCCUCUGCCCCCACUCGUGCGAAGGUACCUCUGGGGGUCUCGCGAUCCUGUCCGGAUCUGGCUUUCAACAAAAAAUGGAGGAGUGAGCACGGCAGGGGCAGCCUCCCAGACAGGCUAGAGACAGACACUUUGUAUGGGACUAUUCCUGCGCACUGGAGGAAGGCCUCCUCCCUCGUGGGCACCCCCAACACUCCUCCCCCGUCCCCUGGAGCAAUCACUUGUGAAGAGAAUCUCGUCUUAAUCAGCAUCACAAUGACUGAAAUCCUCCCCAAGACCGACUCUCUCCGUCCAAUUCUCCAGAAGUCUGUUUGCAUCGAUUUCAACUGUCUAGAUCUGGUCGUCAGCGUUGAAUCCUGGAUGAUAGUUCUAGACUUCUUUGGAAUUGGCACGAGCCAAGUGAAUUCCAGGAUUUCCACCAGAACUAGGGACCUGGCAACAUCGACUACUUCCAUCGCCACUGCGUCCACUUCAACUGCAGCCAAUGGCCCAGCGAACGAAUAUACUGAUCCCUCAGGGGUCACAAAGGAGCUUCAUUCAGACACAGAAAUCGAGAUUCGCUCGUUGACGCUCGUUCUCACCAGAACCGACAAAGAAAUCGCAAAGGCGAACAUCUCGAACGCAAGCAUGACGAUCGUCAAAGCCUCGGGGAAGUCCAAAGUCUCUGGAUCGCUGGGUUCAAUGUCCCUGUUGGACCUGACCCCUCACGGCAGGUUCUACAGGGAGAGAUUUCUCUCCUCAGGGAGGAAAGCCCUCAACUUUCAGUACUCAAGCUACGAGGACUCCAGGCGGCUCUCUUACGACGCCAAACUGAAACUCCAGAUGUCCUCAGUGCACUACGUUCACACCCAACGAUUCGUCGCUGAACUCCAGGCGUUCUUCAGGCACUUCUCCCAGCUGAGGGCGGUAAUGCAGAACCUCAGGUCUGGGGAAGUUCCUGUCUUAUCAAUGGAACAGACUAGGGGCACGAGAUUGUCCCUGGAGCUCCAUGCAGGGGCCCCCGUUAUCCUCCUCCCAGUGAGCUCUCAAUCGGACAAACUGGCUGUCCUCGAUCUUGGGGAAUUGACUGCUCACAACUCCUUCCACCACUCGAAGGACUCCCCUCAGUGCCUCCUGGACGUAAUGCACCUGGAGCUGGUGAACAUGGACGUGUUCGCGGCCCAGAGGAUCAGACAGUGUCUAGACAGGAGUGAUUACGACAACAGCGGGGAUGACAGUGACACCCUGAUGAUCGGGGGGUUCUACCUGAAGAAACUGGGCCCCUCUUUGCUGACAGAGAAGUGCCACCUGAGCUUGAGAAUCGAGAGGAAUCUUGACACCUACAUCAACAGAGACAUCCCAGACCUGAGUGUCCACGGGACUUUAUCAACAAUGAAUUGUGCACUGGAUCCAGCCCAGUACAUGCUCAUCAGGGGUCUCCUGGCUCACAAUAUCGGAGAGAAUCUGGACGACAUUCUUCUGUUCUUGGAGGAUCUGCAGGACUCCACUGAGUACUUCAUGACCGAGGAGGCGGUUGGAGGGAAAGUCUGGACGAAAUCCUGCGUUAUUCUUGAUAUCGUUAAUGUUGCUGUGAAGCUUCACCCCAACCACGGGAUCGCAGCCCUCGCCUGCGUCAAUUUCAUCAAGUCAAGAUUAACUCUGGACUCUCUGAGCGAUGGAUCGCAGGACAUUGACCUGGUGUCCCAGGAGAUUCUGGUCAUAGACACGAGGUUUCAGGACGAGCCCGUGAACAAACGAUCCAACGUCUUCACGAGUAUUCUCCAGCCCCUGAAGAACUUCGGGGGGAUUGAGGACAGGGUCCAAGCCGAGAUCCACCACAGGAGGAGGAAGAACAACGCAGCGACGACGAUUCUUCUGCACAGCAUGAGACUGACAGCCAUUUUAGACUGGUGGGAGGCAGUGAGGGACUUUCUAAUCCUGAAUUCCCCAGAGCCAGAGCCCAUCGGCAUCUCCAGACCCCCUCUCGUCUCCCAGGAGAUUGACCCCUCGACGACGACUUCCUCUCCAUUCGAAUUGAAACUCAAUCUAACGGACUCUGAACUCGUCAUCGUGGAGGACACGUCCCUCUGGGACACCAACGCAGUCAUUCUGAAGUGCACAGCAGUCCUGGCUUACAGGUCUCACCCUCAGGACGGGGAGAAACCGUUGUCCUGUAACUUAUCCCACUGCGAGCUGUACUCCUGCAUCCUGGGGAUGGAGGAGGAGACGGCGCUGUCGAUCAUCGACCCAGUGGGUGCCAGUGUCGAAUUGACGAAGGAAAAAGCCUUGGAAAUCCAACUGCAGCCCUUAAACGUUAAAUUAAGCUAUCACGACGUGACGAUGUUUGGAAGAAUGGUGAAUUCCCUGCCUAAACAGACGCUCUGGGCCAAGCAGAGGUCCCUGUCAGGGCCCCCAGCCAACGCCAAGAGCCACAUAAUGAAGCUGUCGGCCCUGGGAUUCGCUGAAACCGAUUGUGAAGCUGCUUUGGACGUCUGCAAUGGCCAACUGGAUGACGCCGCCCUGUGGUUGACGCAACACGCAGUCCCCAAUGCUGAGGACAACCGCCCUAGGAGUGGAUUCCAAGCCAUCGAGAUUGAGACAGCCUGUCUGAGGAUUUGCGUCAUUGACGACUGCAGAGAUGCGGAUGUCCCUCUGGCCGAACUCGUGCUCAUGGACUUCUGUCUGCGGCAGGUGCUCGAGGGCCCUGGCUCCAUGCGAGCCACUUUUGGAGUUGACUACUACAAUAGAGUCCUGAGUGGGUGGGAACCCUUCAUCGAACCCUGGAAGACGUCUGCUAGGUGGGAGCACAGUGUCGGGAAUGCUCUGAACACCAAGAGACUUCAAGUGGAGGUGCAGUCAGAGGACUCGGUGAACGUCAACAUCACCUCGACUCUGGUGGAGCUCGUGAGCCUCGUCAAGGACAACUGGACGCAGGAUUAUUACCUGAGCAAUAAGCAUGACCCUGGAGCCUCGAAAUCCUCGUCCUCGUCUCUGAAUAGCCUCCAGGGGUACUACAGGCGACGAUCGCCAUUCGUUCCCUUCGCCCUGAAGAACGAGACUGGAACCAACUUGUGGUUCAAGACGUUCAUUGCAGUGGCUGAUGACGUGUGUCAGAUCAGCGAAUACUUCAACGACGAUAACAAUCUCAUCAGGGACAAGACCUGGCGCGAAGUGCCCUCAGGGGAGACGAUCCCCUUUACCUUCGAGGAGAGAGGAAAACUUCGGCACCAGACGACUCAUCAAGUCAGAAGACAUCAGAUCGCUGUUCUCGUCGAGGGGUGGAGGCCAGUGGAUCCAGUCACUGUCGACAGAAUCGGGGUUUACUUUCGUCAUGCCAGCGCUGAUUUGAAGCUCGUGGGGUCGUCAGCGGGGAAGGCCAGAGUGGUUUUCGCUGUUGAGCUCGAAGGAUCCGCCAGGAAACUGGUGACAGUGAGGUCAGCCCUCCAGAUCGCGAAUAAACUCUCUCAUCCAGUGGACAUAAAACUGGAGAAACUGGGGUUCAGUCAGUUCGGGUACUACGGGGGACCUGUGAACGUCGUGAACUCCAGCACGAAGGUCCUUCACAUCCCCGAGCACUCGGUGAUGUCUGUCCCCUUGACCCACACCAGCGUCAAAAUGUACCUGAAGCCCCAACACCCGAACUUCGCUUUUCAGUACAGCAUGGAGCCCAUAGAGUGGACCCUCGUGAAGAAGCCAAUGGAAGUUGUGGAGGUUCUCACCACCUGCAGGACCAAUCAGAAUAAUUUAUUCAGGAUGUGUGUGGCUGUCAGGAGGGACAACUACCCUGUUGACACUGGACAGAACAUCCUCCCCGCUCACACCAUCUCUCUUCUGCCUCCAGUUACUCUGACGAAUCUUCUGCCUCACGAAGUGUCGUAUCAGGUGUCCACAGCUGAGACUGGGAGGAUCGGCCCUGGGAUGAGUGCUGAUCUCCACAGUGUCAAUGUUGAAGAACAGCUCGAGAUCACUGUCCAGCUUGAUGGCUACCCAGGGAGUGGGACGCUGUUACUGUCUCAGAUAUCUGGAUCAUUCGUGGGGAGGAUGAAGCUGACGGACUCCGCGGGGAGAAUCCUCUUCCUCAACGCUGCUGUCAUCGUUGAGAGAGGAUCCGCUGUCAAGAUCAACAUCACUGCUCCUUACUGGAUCGUCAAUAAAACGGGACUGCCUCUGGUGUUCAGGCAGGAGGGGGUGGGGACAGAGGCUGCUGGGCAGUUUGAAGAGCACGAGAGAGCCAGGAUGGUGGCGCCAUUGUUAUUCUCCUUCAGCGAUGAAGAGGCCAGUAGAACGUUGGCCGUCAGGGUGGGCUCAGGGGUCCAUCCCAAUGGGGUGUCCCAGUGGUCCCAGCAUUUUCAUCUGCAGCCAGGGGUUCAGGUGCACAGGCUGAGGAUCAGCCUCAGGGACGGAAGGCCUGACAUCGUCUACCUCAUUGGGGUCUCCACGAGGACCGCCAGGGGGAGGUACAGAGCGACGACUGUUGUCACACUGUCCCCCAGAUAUCAGCUACACAACAGGUCCUCCUGUACCUUGGAACUGGCGCAGAGAUGUUUCACGACGACUGUCAGUCACCCUGAUGCUCAAGCCACGUACAUCACAGCCAUGCCAGACUGCCACAUGCCUUUCCACUGGCCCAGGCUCGAUAAAGAUCAGCUGCUGUGUGUCAGGAUCAUCGAUGUUCCCAACUGCAUGUGGUCUGGGGGGAUAAUUCUCGAUGGGAACCACUCCCUGACGAUCAACAUCAGGGAUGCAGGCGGCAAGAUGCAUUUCCUGCGGGUUGACGUUGUGCUUCAAGAGAGCACUUACUUCAUCGUCUUCACUGAUGCCAACACAAUGCCCCCUCCGAUAAGGGUUGACAACUUCUCCGAAGUUGCGCUGACGAUUAAUCAAGCUGGGGUGCUUGACAGUCUCCAGUGGACAGUCAGGCCUCACUCAUCUGUACCUUAUGCCCUUGAUGAACCGACACAAAGUGCUAAUUUAACUGUGACUGCGCCUGGAGGAGUCACGGGGUCCUACGAUCUGAAUCUCCUCGGGGAGAAUCGAGGCCUGACUUACGAAAAUUUUAUUUACAUCGCGUUCACUGGGACCUUCAAAAUCGAUGGGGAUCUGGGGACUGGGGAGGGCGGUCUGGACCCCCUGGAUGUGGAGACCCAGAGGCUAGUGCUGGAGGCUGGCCCUGGGGGGUGGGUUGCUCUCAGGAGGAAGCAAAAUGGCGCGAGGUCUCAGUUGUGGAGGAUGACUGGGGAUGGACAGUUGCAGCACGAGGGCUCCAGCCCUCCCAGGGACAAACACUCCAGAACUCCUGACAGUGUUCUUGUGCUGGACAUCGCUGGAACUGCCCCUCAACCCUUCACCUACUGCGCUCUAGCCUUGAGGAGACCUGAUCAGAGGAGACGAUCCACGCAGACCUGGAGGUUCACGGACGAUGGGAGACUCUGUUGUGCUCACAAGAACAUGUGCGUUCAGUCCAAGGACGGGUUCAUGGGGCUGUACGAAGGCGGGAGUGUCGCCCGUUGGCAAAUGUGGAGUGAGGCAGUUCUGGGGCCUCAGACUCACAGCGACCCUCCACCCAUUGAACAGAGAGUUGGAAGACAACGGUUGAGACCUGGAUCAGGGUUUCUCUCCGUUCGAGUGACUACCGAUGGGCCUACAAGGGUCAUACAAGUUCUGGAUAUUAAAGAAAGAAAGAAGACCUUCGCCCUUCUAGAAGAACGCGACUGGUCCCACAUAGCAGUGGCGCAGCGGCCGAGCCAGUUGAACCCGUCCACGAAAAAGCCCUCGACCCUCUCCUCAGAGCUCCAGGUGGCCAUUAGCCUGCCGGCGGGUCUCGGCCUGUCAGUGGUCUCCCGCAGGCCGGUGGAGGAGCUCCUGUUCGCUCGGCUCGUUGGAAUCGCCUUCGAGACGAUCCAGACCCCCUCAAACACAACCCUGAACCUCAGCAUCGACGACGUUCAAAUCGACAAUCAGCUGUUCGAGGCCCAGUGCACCUCAGUCCUCUACAUAACCCGGCCAUCACGAGCGGAGAGCGACGAGAGGCCAGCGAUAGACGUGGCCACAGAGAAGCUCCCCUCGAAAAACCAAAACGCCGAGAUCUUCAAGCACCUGAUCGUCAGCAUAAAACCCCUCUGCGUGCACCUGGAGGAGCGCUUAAUCCUGAAGCUAGCAGCCUUCGUGGGCACAGGAAGCUCCGACUUCGACGUACCCGUUGACGAGAACGACUUCAAGGCCCAAAGGCUCAUCUCCCAGGUGUCAGCAGCCCACGCCAGGAGAUACUACUUCGGAGUUCUGAAGCUCGUCCCCAGCCAGGUGAAGCUCAGCGUCCUAACGACCACAAAACUCCCCCGACAUCUUCAAUCCAUAAAGCGAAAGCUGGGUCUGACCCUCAUCAAGUUCGAGGACGCCUCCAUCGAGCUGGAGCCAUUCGUGAAGAAACAUCCCUUCGAGAGCAGUCAGUUCCUCAUCCACUCGAUCCUAAAACACUACAAGGACGAACUGAAGUGGCAGGCAGCUGUGAUCCUGGGCUCUGUGGACUUCCUGGGGAAUCCUCUGGGCUUCGUUAACGACGUGUCCGAGGGGGUGUCAGGGCUCAUCCACGACAAGAGUGUGACGACCCUUGUGAAGAACGUGACCCACGGCCUGUCGAAUUCAGCAGCCAAACUGACAGAGUCUCUGUCUGAUGGUCUUGGGAGAGUGAUUUUGGACGAGAGCCACGAGGAGACGAGACAGAGGAUUCGUACGAACACCGCUGGCAGCAGCGAUCAUCUGGUGGCAGGGCUCAAGGGCCUGGGCUUUGGCCUGCUGGGGGGAUUCACCAGUAUAUUCAAACAGACGUACGAUGGAGCUGCCAACGAGGGCUUCCCUGGGUUCUUCGCUGGGCUGGGCAAAGGAGUCGUUGGAACAGUGACUAAACCAGUGGUUGGGGUCCUGGAUUUGGCCAGCGAGGCGGCCACCGCCAUCAGGGAGUCCUCCAGAAGUGCUCAUCGAGCCAUUCCCAAGAGGGACAGACUCCCCAGGGUCGCCAGUGGCCCAGCAGGACUCCUCCCCCCUUACAACUGCCAUCACGCCGAGGGGCAGGAGUUCCUCUACAGUAUCAAUCAGCGGGACUACUCCGAGCUUUAUGUCGCCUACGAGAGCCUCUGCAGUGGCACCGAGAAUCUCAGUAUUCUCGUCUCGAAUGAGAGGGUCAGGGUCAUAUCAGGCAGCACCAAAACUGUCGUCACUGAGGUCAGUCUUGCUGAUCUUGUCCAGUGUCAACCCACUCAGGUGAACGAGAGCAAUGGGAGCACUUUGUAUUAUAUCGAAUUAACUUCGAGGAUCGACUCUGCUGGUGGAGUGACUUUCGAUGGGCCGGAAGUCCUCAGGAGACCUAAAGUCAGGUGUGACACUGAGGAGAUCGCCAAGUGGGUCUCCCAGCAGAUCAAUUAUGCCAAAGGAAUGCAUCAGGAGCGCAGGCUCACGCUCAUGUCCUCGGAUAAUAUGCUUGAUGACAUUCAUUCGUACAAGUAAACUUUUAUUUUAUUUUUUUACAUUAUGAGGGUGAUAUUUAUGAGAGAACAAUAUGGAGAGCUAUCUUGCUCCAGUUAUCGUCGUGAUAAUGAGUUGCUUGAGUUAAACACGUCACAAUGUCUAGGGUAGCUGUUUCUAUGUAUAGAAAUCGGGCUGUGAAGUACCAAGUUAGAUUUAUUUUCACUGCGACGUGGCACGAAUGCUCUGCGAAUUAUAAAACGUGUACAAAAGACUGAGAAUACGUAUAAUAUUGAUAAAUGCAAUCAACAGUUUUGCUUAUUUCGCUUGUUCGGGGAGAGGUAGACGAGUGAAUUGUUAAACAUUAGGAAUAUAUCAUUUCAGAGUUAUUUCCAGUUUAUAGAGCGAUAGUUGCGAUGUUGUAUUAGCCUGGUGAUUGUAAAUACGUAUUUAUUUUUCAGUUUGAUUGAUAAAACCGAAUCGUGCGCAGUCGAGUGACUGCGUUGGGUGGGCUGCUAUCGAACUGUCAUGCACUGAAGUGUCAAAAUUAAAAAGCAAAUCGAGUGGGGGUUCAGAGUCAAUGACAUCC